rnacentral:rRNA from 1 species
CUGGCGGCGUGCCUAAUACAUGCAAGUCGAACGCACUCUCGUUAGAUUGAAGAAGCUUGCUUCUGAUUGAUAACAUUUGAGUGAGUGGCGGACGGGUGAGUAACACGUGGGUAACCUGCCCUAAAGUGGGGGAUAACAUUUGGAAACAGAUGCUAAUACCGCAUAAAACCUAGCACCGCAUGGUGCAAGGUUGAAAGAUGGUUUCGGCUAUCACUUUAGGAUGGACCCGCGGUGCAUUAGUUAGUUGGUGAGGUAAAGGCUCACCAAGACCGUGAUGCAUAGCUGACCUGAGAGGGUAAUCGGCCACACUGGGACUGAGACACGGCCCAGACUCCUACGGGAGGCAGCAGUAGGGAAUCUUCCACAAUGGACGAAAGUCUGAUGGAGCAACGCCGCGUGAGUGAAGAAGGUUUUCGGAUCGUAAAACUCUGUUGUUGGAGAAGAACGUAUUUGAUAGUAACUGAUCAGGUAGUGACGGUAUCCAACCAGAAAGCCACGGCUAACUACGUG